AGCUUUGCACAGUGGCAAUAUCAUAGCCAGUGAGGUCUAUCUGAGGCGCGAUUAUUGUUAAUUGAAAACUUUUCCCAAUACCCUGCCAUGACGACUUGAAAUAUAGUCGGCAUUAGCAAUUUUUGACAGUCUCCACGGAGA
rnacentral:snRNA from 1 species